AUACAUAUACAGCGGCAUAAGUAAAGAUGAGGACACAUUGUGAGAGACGUGCAUACCAGAACGAUUCUUUAUCACCAGCGAAGGGUGCGCAGGCCAAAGCCGAGUACCUAAUAUUAUCGCAUUAUAAUCGGACUUCGACACUCCGACCCUAGCUUAGUACCUUUACCUACUCUCAACUAUUUUCAGCUAAUACAUAUACGUACAAGCCGAAAAAAAACCUUUCUGCAAUGUGCCUAAAAGAGUGUGAGACGCCGUUUUCGCCUAGACUAAAAAGUGAUGGAUUAAUAAAGUGAAAAACAAAUUCCAAAUUAUGCUUUCCUGUUAACGGCGUCCAGAAAAUCUGGAGAGUUGCAAAGCUGUAUUGUAAUUAUAAAAGUAGCGAACUGGUAUUUAUGCAAAUAAUUAAACUAAGCUGGACAAUAAUUCAUACAUUAAGGAAAUUAUAAAUUAUGGUUACAUAAAGAGAAAUUGAAUGUUGAGUGAACAUUACGAAUCACAAUAAAAUGUGCAUGUAGAUACGAUUGUACUUUUGCACAUAUGGGCAAAGCAUAAAGUUUUUAUAAUGUGCAUACACUUAUUUACAUACAUACAGAUGUACAUAUUCAUUUGAUUUCAAACAUAUAAAAGAUGUUUAUAUGAAAGUUCGUUCAUGAAUUGCAGUUAACGACUGAUAAGAAACUUUAAUCUUUAAUUAAAAGUAGCUGGAAAGCAAAACGCUGCUCGAUAAGCACGCAAAAUGACACACUGCGUGAUCGGACAGAAAAAAUUACAGUUCGAAAGAAUGUUACUUCUGUAUUGUUCUAGGUUAGUAAAUCACCGUAAACGGAAGUCGACGAUGUGACUAUGAGUGUGGUGCAAAAGAAGGAGACUACUGUUUAGAAGGGAAGAAUGUAAAAUCAGUCACGAUUGUGUGAAAAAAACCAUUCAAUUCUUAACGUCUAAAAAGAUAGAUUUACAGCGCCCACAGUUUCUAAAAAAAAAUCCGUUUCGAAAUUGUGCCCUACGUCCUAGAAUUAUAGGUAAAGUUUGGGUAAAUUCAUGAUAGAUAGCGUUGUCGACCUAUUCAAUAACAACAAAUGCAUAUUUUUUCCUGCCUUCACCAAAUUUGUUGUUUAACAAAAUAGAACACUCAAGUCAAGAUGCCCGUUACUCAGCUAGUAGAAGUGCGAACAAAAGCUAAGACAAAAAUUCUUAAAAGCCAUUAACAAUUUUUUAUAAUCUUUGGGAGUGACGGUUUUGGGCGAAAUAGGGGACGUGGCCGAAAUGUUUUUGGUAUACCGAUAGAUAUUGGCAAGAGAAAUAACAAAAAGAAAAAAAAGCUUUAAACGUGUGGUCGUGACAGUUGGCGUAAGAAAUGUGUGGCCGAAACGAUAAAAAUUGGCAACAUAUAACAAAACGAAAAUAAUUUAAAACAUUUUCAACAGUGUGGGCACAGCAGCUGUUGGGGUUUGUGUGCGUUAGGGUGGGCAUAGCAAGAAGAUUUUUAACAAUUCAAUACAAGUUUUACAAGCCUAAUAAAAUAAUUACAAAAAUUCGGAAAACAACAAUAUAGUAAAGUUCGUCGAAUAUACGAUUUUUUUCAAACAUAUUUUUCCUAAAUACAACAAAUCAAAAGUAUCGCCAAAAAUAA